rnacentral:rRNA from 1 species
CCCUUAGAUGUUCUGGGCAGCACGCGCGCUACAAUGGUCUUCGCAAACGGAUGCAUUCUCGAAGGAGAAUGCCAAUCUUGGAAUCUAUGCCUUGGUCGGGACAGUUGCUUGCAAUUUUUCGACUCGAACCAGGAAUUCCUUGUAAUCGUGAUUCAUCACAUCACGAUGAAUACGUCCCUGCCCUUUGUACACACCGCCCGUCGCUCCUACCGAUCGAAGAGUUAGGUGAAUUGUUUUGAUCGAUAAGAUUUGACUAUGGUCCACUCUCGUUGUGAAAUUCUGUGAAUCUGACUGUUUAGAGGAAGGAAAAGUCGUAACA